rnacentral:misc_RNA from 1 species
CGUCCGGCUUUCAGUUUAUAGAUACCGUUCUGUGAAGUAACAUCGUGACGUGUGAAUUGAAUUUCAAACUUUUUUUUUUGUGCUUUUUGAACAAUAAGUGAUACAAUCAGUGAAUAAUUUUAAACUAUGACAACUACACGACAUCAUAGAACAUGGUUUAACUACGUUUUUCGCAGUAUUUUUUAAGGUAACGAGAGUGUGGCAACGCAACGACGUGGUGGCGCGUAAAAACGGUGGCAAGGGAAGCAUGCGAAGAAAAGAGGGCGGAGGAAGAUUUGUGGUCGCGGGGGAAAGGAAGGGUUCCCAAGGAAUCGCGUUAGAGGAAGGGAGGUCGUCGAAAAUUGUCGAUGCAGUUGGUCGAAGCGUGUGAGAGGCGGCCAGGAUGGAAAACGGGGUGGUGAACGGUGGACAAGUUGCUUCUCAAGUGUCGUUAAGAAGUUAAUCUCAGCCAUGCCGAACGAGACAAAUGCCACGGACGAUUUUAUCGAUUACGAUAUCAACGACUCGUUGAGCCACUUCGAUUGGGCGGAACUGGGGCCUGUCCUCGUCGUCUACUCCCUCACGUUUUUCCUCGGAUUAAUCGGAAACGUCGUCAUCAUUGGUUCAACACUGUGCCCCAGACUGAGACCUUUACCAGCGACACCGACCAACGUCUUUCUAGGUGGUUUGGCAACUGCCGAUCUUUUGCUUAUACUCUUUUGCAUUCCCGUGAAGGUGGCGAAGCUGUUCUCGUACACGUGGACUAUGGGCCUGUUUCUAUGCAAGUCGGUCCACUAUAUGCAGAGCGUCUCGGCUAUUUGCUCGGUCGUCACGUUAACCGCAAUGUCGAUCGAAAGAUAUUACGCCAUAGUUCACCCUAUGCGGGCCCAGUACACGUGCACGAUAAGCCAGGCUCGCAAAAUAGUAAUUACAACUUGGGUGGCGUCCUUCCUUCUUGGUAUACCAAUGAUCUUCACGCAGACACACAAGGAAGUCGGAUUGAGGGUAAUCGCUUAUUGGUGCGUUCGUGAUUCGGAAGGUGGACUUUUAUGGCGCGCCCACGAGGUUUAUAUGCUGGUGUUGGUCCUGGUGUUACCCCUAGCCGUGAUGGCGUAUUGUUACACGGCUAUUUGCUGGGAGAUUUGGCGAGUCAUGAAACGCCGAUACCACAUGACAUCGCGCCGCGUAUUGAAUCCAAGUAACGUGGACGCAGAAUCCAUACCCAUGACACAGAGGAAUAGCGUGCGAAACAAUAAUCGUCGUUCUCAACGAGAGGACAGUCAAACAGAAGAAGAAUCUCGUACGAUAAGACAGGUGGUGAAGAUGUUGGUGGCCGUGGUGGUGUUGUUCGUCAUUUGCUGGGGUCCAAUUCUCGUGGAUAACAUGCUAACAGCUUAUGGAUACCUGCCACGCGUAAAAGUUGGCACGUACAAGCAUCUUAACACCGCUUUUCAGCUGAUGGCUUAUUUUAACAGUUGCAUAAAUCCAAUCGUUUAUGGGUUUAUGUCGAAACACUUCAGGGAGAGUUUCUUGGCCGCUGCCUGCGGCAGCUGGUGGAUCUGUUGUCCCCGGAGAGGGUACAGGGCGCCGGUGAAGAGGCAUCCGAGCCUAAGCCAGACAAGGACGACCAGUAUAAGGUGGACGCGAAACUCCUUCCAGGAGUCGAAGUAUCGAAACUCGAGCGACAACCAUCUCGUAGCACAUCCGUGAAUUAAACAAUUUGGCAACGUAGGUCCACCAGCAUCCGAAAUAUCAUAUAUAGAGAUGGACUUGAUUAUUUCGUCAUGCCCGGCCCACGUCGAGGCACUUGUUUCACAGG